CAGCCCGCGGUAAUACGUAGGGUGCGAGCGUUAAUCGGAUUUACUGGGCGUAAAGCGUGCGCAGGCGGCCCGUUAAGACAGGUGUGAAAUCCCUGGGCUCAACCUAGGAAUUGCGCUUGUGACUGGCGGGCUCGAGUACGGUAGAGGGGGGUGGAAUUCCUGGGGUAGCAGUGAAAUGCGUAGAGAUCAGGAGGAACAACGAUGGCGAAGGCAGCCCCCUGGGCCUGUACUGACGCUCAUGCACGAAAGCGUGGGGAGCAAACAGGAUUAGAUACCCUGGUAGUCCACGCCCUAAACGAUGGGUACUAGCCGUUUGGUGCGCGAUAGCGCUGAGUGGCGAAGCUAACGCGUGAAGUACCCCGCCUGGUGAGUACGGCCGCAAGGUUGAAACUUAAAGGAAUUGGCGGG
rnacentral:rRNA from 1 species